GCUAUUUAAAUAGCCACGUCAAUCCUGCUGAUGUCUGAUAAGCUGGUGCGGCGACAAUCAUCAGGCUAGCAGCCUAUUGUGUUUACUGGAUAGUCUGCGAAAUUAUUACAGUAAACUUGUUUUGAUCUGCCUGGCUAAGGGCUAGAAUCAAAAUAAGAUGUAAACUUAGCCUAAACCUGUAGAUACUUUGUGUGGAACUU
rnacentral:tmRNA from 1 species